AUGAGCUCAAGCCCGGAGCCACCGCAUCGGCCGGAUCGACACCAUCUUCUUCCUCGGUCGUCGCCGUUGUUCUUCGUCGAUCCGUCGCCUCUGCAGCUCUUAAGCCACCAACAGGCCUCCGUGUGCCUCUGUGACCCCGAGACCGAUGCUGCCCCUGUGAUCGACUACGUUGAUGACGACACUUCUUCCUUUUUGGCGGAGCUUCCAGAUGGUGGAGUCCAGGAGCCAGAUGCCACCUUUGAUGACUGCUGCUACCACGAGGGUGCCUACUACCACGUGACGGACGCCGACGACCAGGAGUAG
rnacentral:rRNA from 1 species